GAUCAUGGCUCAGGAUGAACGCUGACAGAAUGCUUAACACAUGCAAGUCGAUGGGGAAGUGGUGCUUGCACCAUGGUAACCAUGGCAGACGGGUGAGUAACGCGUAAGGAACUUGCCUGCGGGACCGGGAUAACAGCAGGAAACUGCUGACAAGACCGGAUAAGGUCAUUAAGCCGCAUAGCUUAGUGAUGAAGGGAGACGCCUGCGGAGAGCCUUGCGUCCUAUUAG
rnacentral:rRNA from 1 species